rnacentral:rRNA from 1 species
UGGGGAAUUUUGGACAAUGGGCGAAAGCCUGAUCCAGCAAUGCCGCGUGUGUGAAGAAGGCCUUCGGGUUGUAAAGCACUUUUGUCCGGAAAGAAAUCCUUGGCUCUAAUACAGUCGGGGGAUGACGGUACCGGAAGAAUAAGCACCGGCUAACUACGUGCCAGCAGCCGCGGUAAUACGUAGGGUGCAAGCGUUAAUCGGAAGUUACUGGGCGUAAAGCGUGCGCAGGCGGUUUGCUAAGACCGAUGUGGAAAUCCCCGGGCUCAACCUGGGGAACUGCAUUGGUGACUGGCAGGCUAGAGUAUGGCAGAGGGGGGUAGAAUUCCACGUGUAGCAGUGAAAUGCGUAGAGAUGUGGAGGAAUACCGAUGGCGAAGGCAGCCCCCUGGGCCAAUACUGACGCUCAUGCACGAAAGCGUGGGGAGCAAACAGGAUUAGAUACCCUGGUAGUCCACGCCCUAAACGAUGUCAACUAGUUGUUGGGGAUUCAUUUCCUUAGUAACGUAGCUAACGCGUGAAGUUGACCGCCUGGGGAGUACGGUCGCAAGAUUAAAACUCAAAUGAAUUGACGGGG